GGGCCCGCACAAGCGGAGGAACAUGUGGUUUAAUUCGAUGAUACGCGAGGAACCUUACCCGGGCUUAAAUUGCACUGGACAGGCCGAGAGAUCGGUUUUUCUUCGGACCAGUGUGAAGGUGCUGCAUGGUUGUCGUCAGCUCGUGCCGUGAGGUGUCGGCUUAAGUGCCAUAACGAGCGCAACCCUUGCUUCCAGUUACCAUCAGGUCAUGCUGGGGACUCUGGAAGGACUGCCAUCGUAAGAUGUGAGGAAGGUGGGGAUGACGUCAAAUCAGCACGGCCCUUACGUCCGGGGCUACACACGUGUUACAAUGGGGGGUACAGAAGGCAGCUACCGGGCGACCGGACGCCAAUCCCAAAAACCUCUCUCAGUUCGGACUGGAGUCUGCAACCCGACUCCACGAAGCUGGAUUCGCUAGUAAUCGCGCAUCAGCCACGGCGCGGUGAAUACGUUCCCGGGCCUU
rnacentral:rRNA from 1 species